UGGGCGGCCCCGCGUGUGGCCUGAGGGGCGGCGGGGCGGCACAGCCCACUGCCAGUAGUUCCGUGCAACGCCGCAGCUGCGCUGACAGUGUUCUAAUCCCCGUCCAGUUUUACCGUGACUGGAGGUUAUCCUGGAGGAGGGCCAGCCUUUGCCGGAGCACAUCUCUUCCUCCCAGGCAGCUGGCAGAUGAGGCGCUGUGCCAGACCUUGCGCCAGAGGCACCAUCCACAGCACCAGUCCUCAGCUGUACUGCUCCUGCUGCCGAGUCACCCAGCCACAACUUGAGAACAGUCUGCAGCUAUGUAAAAAAUUACCACAAAGAUGAAGGGAGUAAUUUCCACACGGCAGAAGGCAAGCAACGGGCUUAAAUUGUAUAAAGGAAAAGUACAGAAAACUUUCUAACAAUAAAGAGCAGAGAAAAAGAUUGCCUGGUAAAAAUGUGCAGCCUCUAUACCUGUUUUUUUAAGAAGAAACAUCUGCCAGGAGCAGAAAGCCAGAGACAGGGAAGAAGGAUGGAUAAGGAGAGGUCCCUUUCAGUCCUGUGAUUGAGUAAUUAUUUUUACACUGGAUACUAUUGUUUUAGUGAAAACAGCUAUGUAAUAAUGAGUCUAACGUGCCCAGUAGUAAAUACAUAACCUUUACAUGGGUCACUGAAGGUCAGAGAUGGCCACUGCUAUUGAACAAUUUGUAUGACAAAGGAGAAUUUGGAUCACUGCUGAAUACAAAGGCAUACCACACAGGCAAUUGCUCAGGCAUGAUAGGCAGCUGCAAAGUUGGAAAACAUUUCCCAUUGCUUGGAAAUGCUGGAACAUCACCACUAACAUCCCUGAAACUUUAAUGGACAUCUCUCACACUGUUAAUGAAAUGCUACUUGAAAUUCCAGAGAGUGAAAAGCCAGGACAAGGCAGAUACCGAACCAUUCAGUCAUCAGCACACCCCACUGUAACAAAGGGAAUCUGGACCAGAAAGAUGGAGAGACACUGAAUUUCACUUUUGAAAAAGAAUACAAGUUUAAGUGAUUUCUUCAGCUUGAUAGAAAGCUGUGCAACUACUGCACAGUCAAAUGCCAUUAUUAACACCGAUCUGCUGGAAAAGCUCCCAUUAUGAUCAAUGGAUCAUUCUCUUAGAAAAGGUACAUGACCAGGUCUCACUCACAGCCAUGGAAGACAAAAAUGUUGCUUUAAUCAUGCCUUAGAUACAUAAACAUCGACUCAAAGGGGUUUUCACUCAGGUGGUUGUUAGAAGUUUGCUCUUUCUGCUCUUCUCAUGGUGACUCAGUGAGUCAGUAUUUCUACUGUAUAAUUGUCUGAGCUCCUCAUUUAGAGAAGCUGAAGACAUUGGGCAGGCAGUAAGUCACUUCACCCCACUGCAUGGACAAGCUCCCAAGUGCUUUUACAUUUUUCAAAUGCUGAACAGAUUUGUUUGCCAUCUAUUCUUUAUAUAACAGACCACUUCUGGAAGAAGAGACCAGAAGAAGACACUAUUUAUGCCAUCCACAACUUCUUCUGGACAGCAUAAAUCAACAGUGCAUCUGCUAGCCUGUAGAGAAAUCCUUUUGGGGAGCAGUAUUUUCCUUUGCCUGAGUUGAACCCGUGCUAUCUCAGAAUCUUACUGGGGUCAGAUAAAUUCUAUAUAUAGCUGGUUCAGGGGAAACACAAUAUUUGUUUUGUCUGCUGUGGGAUAAUGAUCUGGGUGUUUCCUCAGCUGGCAUUUUGCAUCCUGCAGAGAAGGAGGAAUUCCCAUGAACUGACAGCUACACAGUUGUUGGGAGACAAAGUGUCAGAGGGUGAUUCUUUGCAAGUCAGCUUUGGCAGCAUUGCUGUGACACACGGCACCAAGCAGCCUGGACAACAUGCAGAGGCACAGGGCAUUCCUCACAUUUGUAGUCCUUCCCACGUGUUUUGUUACAGUAGAUUGCAGUUAUUGUGAACAACCAGAAUCAACUUCUGGAUUACUUGAUGGACCAAACGGAUCACUGAGGCAAGAGCUGCAGAAUUCUGACUGUUUACCUUCUGUGCUCCUAUCUCCUCACCUUCACCACACCUUAUUACCACUUUUACCCUUCUUCCUAUGCAGGAGAAAAGUCACUCCUUGAAUUUAAAAAAAAAAGCAUGGGUUAGGUACCACAGGGCAAGGAGUUCUUUUGCUAGCAUCCUCAGCGCUGAGAUUACUGCUAGAGACAAACAAGCAGACUAAUACAUCACAAAUCAAGAUGCUCUCCAGGACACAAAGCAAGAAGGGCCUUCCUGCAGAGACCUUCACAAUGGGAUUUGAGGAGACAUACCCUAAUCACAGUGCAAGAGUACAUACUCUGAGAUUCCCUGGGGUUUACUGUCAUUAAGGAACCGGAGGCUGAAAUGUCGGCACGCCAAUGCCAUCCUCAAACCCUGAUCCCAGGGAAAUGCUGAAUGAUUGAAGAUUAGCAGCUAUUUAAUCCACUUUGGCCUGGAAAGAAUUUAAGAAGAAUGAGAAGCUUGAAUCAAAACUUGAGUAAGCCUGAAGCUAUCUUGACAUGUUUGUGAAAUAAAUUCCCUCCCGACACUUUUCUAUUAUUUCAGUUCUUGGAUCAUCAUUCUUUGCAUGCUGGGACCAACAAUGCCUUUUAUUGUAGCCUGCCCAAUUUUCCUCUUGCACACAAAGGGAAAGCUCCCUUGGUGAAUGCCAGAGGCAAAUACAGCUUUCUCAAAAAGUUACAUGGGAGAAGUAUGCUUUGGCUUUUGUUUGCAUACUGUAAGCUUCAGCCACACUGAGAAGAGGCUGAGUCAUUCAUAAAUAUGGCCUUUCGACUUUAAAGGUCAGCUGUGCUUUUCAUAAUAAAAACCUGUUAACACAGAAUCGUCCUGGCAAAGACAAACACCAGUUUUAAGUGAGGUAUCACAAAGGGCCCACCAGGAUAAACACUCCACCCAUAAACUGUGGCUCUGCAGUCUACAAGCAACACCAAAACAAGAAAACAUUUUCAAGUGAAGGUGGUCUCAGAAAGGUCUAGAAAAACCUAUGAUAUUUUUCACAUACCAUAGAGAAGAAGUUUACAGAAAUGCUUGACACAGCUAAAUUUGAGAUAUUAUAGGCUUCUGUCUACAGAAAGUGGCAAAGUGGGAAGCUUAGGAAACAAGUGGCAUGCAAAGGACCAGCUUAUGGAUGAGAAGACUUACAGAGAAAUGGCAAAGACUGCCUGCAAAUAAGAGAAUAACAUUUGAGUCCUAGAAAAGAAUCACGAGCUAUUUCCCAAACAUAAUAAAAAACUCAAAUUUU